GCAGUGAGUCAAUCUGCUCUAGGAAGACUCGCUUUUCUGGUUUCUCUUCUUUCCCUUUUCAUCUGUAGAUGGACAACCUGAAAAAGCUAAAAAACAAAAAGCCUUCCAGAAAGGAACACACUGGAGCAGAGCGAAAACUCAGCCAUCCUUUGGGAAUGAAGAUGCUGUUACAAACCCAAAGACAAUGAGGCGAGUGUGAAGGCUGCCAGGUUUCCCACGGGUCCAGGAGCUGUUUUCAUCUCCCACCUUGCUCUCCUGCUGCAAAGUGCCCGGCACACAGUGGGUCUCAGCGCUGUUCUUGCUUUUUGGGCGUUUAUCCAAUAGGAUUGCACAGCCACUCAAGGAACAAGAGCCUGCUGACACUUUGGAUCUUAAUGUGCUGAAAGAACUUUCGAAACGGAGGCCAAGCGGGAGUCUUUGGGUCUUUGGAGGCAUCCCUUGGAGGGGAAACUGGACCCCAGUCCUUUUCUUUUGCUCCUUGGCUACAAGGCAAGUAGUUUUGCAUCCCUACCCCAUAAAGACUUGAGCCAUCACAGGCCAAGGCAACAGAGCCAAGUGAUCAUGGACUGGCACCUGCAAAACUGUGAGCCAAAAUAAACUUUUUUUUCUGGCAUAA